GUUUACGGCCAUACCACCCUGAAAGCGCCCGAUCUCGUCUGAUCUCGGAAGCGAAACAGCGUGGGGCCUGGUCAGUACUUGGAUGGGAGACUGCCUGAGAAUACCAGGUGCUGUAAGCU
rnacentral:rRNA from 1 species